UACGUAGGACCCAAGCGUUAUCCGGAGUGACUGGGCGUAAAGAGUUGCGUAGGCGGCUCGUUAAGUGGAUAGUGAAACCUGGUGGCUCAACCAUACAGACUAUUAUCCAAACUGGCGAGCUCGAGAAUGGUAGAGGUGGCUGGAAUUUCUAGUGUAGGAGUGAAAUCCGUAGAUAUUAGAAGGAACACCGAUGGCGUAGGCAGGCCACUGGACCAUUUCUGACGCUAAGGCACGAAAGCGUGGGGAGCGAACCGGAUUAGAAACCCGGUAGUCC
rnacentral:rRNA from 1 species